UUUGAAACAGCCCUUUCCUUGAUACCUGGGGAGUCUGAAACAGCCCUUUCCUUGAUACCUGGGGAGUCUGAAACAGCCCUUUCCUUCCCGGACUCACAGGUAUCAAGCUUCUGGGAUGGUGUUUUCUUUGUGUGAAGGCUCUGCCAGGCUAGAAUUUAUGGUACUAAGCAGGUGACUGGAUGCGGCUUAUUUUAAAAUUACCUCUUCAUUCAUGCUCCAUGAAAGCACCAAGAAACACCAUCCGUUGGGUUUUAAAUCUGGUCCUCAGCUGCUGUUUCCAAUUCCUGGCGUUGCCGUUAAAUCCUAGCUCCAGCAUAAUUCCCCGAUUGACAGUCUCAUGUCAAGGCCAAAAAGAAGCACACGGAACUAUCAGGUCUCUAGCCUCCGUGUCAUAGGACAAGGUUCCCUGAAGAAACCAAUGACUGAACCCACUUGCUACCCAUCCUGAGCAGAGACGGACACCAUGAAAUCUCCCUUGUCGGUUUUAAAGGAUGUGGAUCAAACUGCUUCUUGUGCAUUUUACUUAAUAAUGCAGAUGCCUAAUCUCUCCCUUUGGCUUAAGCCUACCUUGUCUCACUGUGUACUAGGAAAAGGAGGAGAAAAUAAAAGAAAAAGCCAAUGCAGUGGGGCCUGCAGGAGAGAGGGUGUAGACUCCUCAAAUGAUCACAACUGCGUGAUUGUCCUGGGUACACGUCUUUGAUAGCCUGCCAUUUGUCCCCACUCACCUAGAGAGCCUGUGGAUGGCCUGAGAGGUUUGUGAGCGUGUGUGCGUUUUAACAAAUUUUCAAAAGUUGCCAUGGGGAGAGGAUAGCAAGAAAGCUCUUCAAAAAAGAAAAUUAUUUUCACAGCAUCAUCACAAGAAAAACACCUGUGCAAUAGAUAUCUCUGAAGGUCGGCUGCAAUCUGAACUAAUUGGGAGGGAAGGGGAGAGCUCUCUGUUUGCUCACCUCCAGUAAUGGGCCUUGGAGAAGUGAUCGGUAGCCAAACACUUCGUGCAAUGACUGGUUUGGACACUCUAAACAAAAAGGAAGACUUCUCCAAGCUGCUUCUUGUUCGUGUCACUGAGAGAGGUCACCACCUGCCUUCAUCCACUAGUCACUUCUGAUCACUGGGUAGAGAUUCUGUUACAGAAGUUAUCUCCUGUCGCAAGGACAUCAAUCUCUCCCGACCCCCAGCAUAAGAGGGGACUUGGAGGCAAGAAGAUGAUCUCAAAUCCUCGAGAUCACAGCCAAGGAACAUUAUUUAGAGGCUGUGACUGAAAAUCAACGCCAAUCUGGGUGAAGGUACUACAUUAAGCCAAUAACAGACAACAAGCCUGUGACUGUUUUGUAUGAUGAUGAGAUUGGCCGAAGCCCCACUGCUGUGAGGAGGAAGGGAGCAUGAUCCGGGGAGAGCCUGCACUGCUCUUUGAAGAGUGUCUGUUGUGAUUGCUAGCUGCUUUCCACAGAUCCUUGCUGAAUAUUAUGCCAUUAAACAGUGUGAAAGAAAAAUCAAAAUAUAUGUUUACUGGGUACUAAAUAGUAAGUGCCUUUCAAAUGCUCUUUAAUGGACAGACUUUAAAGUCAUCGUAGAGCACCCUCACAAUCCAAGAGCAGCGUGCUCCUCUCUGUAAAACACCUCGAGGGGCUGACGAGGGCUGACUAUGAAGUGUAACCGCCCUGCAACUCUGGUCCCUUAAAGGCGUCCAUCUUUAGAGAGUGGAAAUGCUUUCAGCCAUACAUACUGGUCUAUAGUUUUCAUGGAAAAACUGGUGAUCUCUCAGUCGUAUUUUCUCAGAAAUGGAGUGACAGUCAGUGAGCCGUUUAACAUAACAGAUAGACACACCUCCUCAGGGACCCAGGGAGGGAGGGAGUUUGUGUGUGCAGGUAUUUAGAACCAUAUACCAGGGUUUAAGCGCUACAGAAGACUUGUGGUGCGAAAUAUAGAAAUGAUCGAAUACAUUUAUACAUGUGCAGUUUCAGAACGUCUCUGAACACGGUGCAUCUUUAGUGCUGUGACUCUGACUUCUGUAGAAGAUCAGGACUCUGACUUCUGAAGAUCAGGAUGAAAUCGAAGGCACUGCGGACCUCAGUACCUCACAGAGGGUGAUCACAAAUCAGUAGCAGAAAAAAAAUAGGUGAUAUCUCAUAGUUGAAAUUAAAGGAUGAAUGAUUAACUCUCUAGGAAAGCCUAAUGUUGAAUCCGUAUCUCAUUUCUUUGGGGAAAGCUCAAGAGUUAAGAAGUAAACUUUAAAGAUGCCACCAAACAGUAGAAAAACACAUGGGAACAUCCUUUAUAUUUUUGGUGCAAAAGGAAAGACAAAAGCCACAAAUAUAGAAGAAAACACUUUAUGACUCUAUCAAGUCAGGUAUUUAGCCUAGAAGGAGCUCAAGCAUUCAAGAGACAGAUGACGAAUUGGAGGAAAAAAAAUUGCAACACAUAACACAAUCAAAAUAUACAAUUUCCAAAACAUGAAAAUCAACACUCCUCAAGAAAUAAGAAUAAAAUAUCUAUAAAAAGGACUAACUUAAAACGACUCUACAGGUCAAAAAGUGACAUCACUAACAAUGAGCUUAAAUAAUGACAAAAUACUGUUUCUUGCUGUCAGACCAGCAAAACUUCAAAAGUUUAAUUUAUCCGUGGUGGGUAAGGACGGAAAGGAGGAGCUAUCGGCGGCGCUGAGGGAGUGCGGAUUGGAAUAAACCUCCACAGAAGGGAGUUUAACAAUUUUCAUCAAAAUUACAAAUGCAAAUAUACUCUUUAACCUAGAAAUUUCAGUUCUGGGAUUUUAUCAUUCACAUAUUUUUGCAUAUAUAAGACGCAGAAAUUACACGCGUUUAUUUAUAAAAGGGAUGUAUGGAGGACAGCCCCAAUGGCCACCAAAGGGUCGAACCAAAGAAACUACAGUGCACCCACAUGGUGCAGUGCUGUGCUGUUGUAAAAGAAGAAAGGGAAACAGAAAGAUGGAUGUGCUCUGGUACAAAGUUACUAUUAAAUAUAACGUUAUGGAGAAGCAGCACCCAGCCGCGUGAACAGUAUGACGCCAAGUGCAUAAAGAAAGUAAGCUAAGACUUAUGUUAGCGUUUUCAAGUCUUGCACAAGGAAACUGUGGGAACCCACAAGAACAAACAAACAAAUAAAACCCCUAAGAGACAGAGGGCAUGGAGAAGAGAAAGCUGGACGGACAGGUUUCAAACAAAGAAAGAAAUAUUUUCACAGGAAACCUUUUUAAUCCUUUCUGUUUUCGAGUAAUAUUUUCACUAAAUGUUACCCGCUUAAAGCUAUGCAGAACUUACUUAAUUAAAUGAAAUAGCUAAAUAAAAACUAUAUCAUUCCAAA